GAAUGUGAAGGUGGUCUGACUGCAACAUCUGUCCUCACUUUGACUUCCAGGGUUGAUUUGGCUGAUCUAGCUGGCUAGGCAGAUGUCCCCUUCCUUACUCACCACUCCACGUGUGUCUCUCCCAAAGCUGCACACUUGGACAAAGAGGAUGACUUUCCCUGAUUAAAAGAGGAUCAUUAUUCUGUCAAGGGUAUACGAGGAGCUGCAUUUUCUGUUAGAACCUCCAAAUGAGUUCUCAAAAUUGGGCAGAAUAUUUGAAUAGGCAUUUUUCCAAAAAAGACUCUCAGAGGAACAACAAGUAUAUGAAAAUAUGAUAAUUACUAAUUAU
ensembl:misc_RNA 7SK 7SK RNA